rfam:Gossypium arboreum cultivar AKA8401 contig_1692_5, whole genome shotgun sequence.
AACCCAUGGUGAGGACACCUUCUCAGUAAGUCCUUGCAUCUCUCCUAUGCAUCAUAAAGUGUUUCUAAAUCCAUCUGCACAAAAGAAGAGAUAUCAUUAAGCAAUUU